rnacentral:miRNA from 1 species
GGCUUCAUAUUAUGUGUC